AUUGAACGCUGGCGGAAUGCUUUACACAUGCAAGUCGAACAGCAGCACGGACUUCGGUCUGGUGGCGAGUGGCGAACGGGUGAGUAAUGUAUCGGAACGUGCCCAGUCGUGGGGGAUAACGUAGUGAAAAUUACGCUAAUACCGCAUACGAUCUAUGGAUGAAAGCGGGGGAUCGCAAGACCUCGAGCGAUUGGAGCGGCCGAUAGCAGAUUAGGUAGUUGGUGGGGUAAAGGCCCACCAAGGCAACGAUCUGUAGCUGGUCUGAGAGGACGGCCAGCCCCACUGGAACUGAGACACGGUCCAGACUACUACGGGAGGCAGCAGUGGGGAAUUUUAGACAAUGGGCGAAAGCCUGAUCCAGCCAUUCCGCGUGCAGGAUGAAGGCCCUCGGGUUGUAAACUGCUUUUGUACAGAACGAAAAGGUUUCUACUAAUACUAGGAGCUCAUGACGGUACUGUAAGAAUAAGCACCGGCUAACUACGUGCCAGCCGCCGCCGUAA
rnacentral:rRNA from 1 species